GACGAACGCUGGCGGCGUGCUUAACACAUGCAAGUCGAACGGAAAGGCCCUGCUUUUGUGGGGUGCUCGAGUGGCGAACGGGUGAGUAACACGUGAGUAACCUGCCCUUGACUUUGGGAUAACUUCAGGAAACUGGGGCUAAUACCGGAUAGGAGCUCCUGAUGCAUGGUGGGGGUUGGAAAGUUUCGGCGGUUGGGGAUGGACUCGCGGCUUAUCAGCUUGUUGGUGGGGUAGUGGCUUACCAAGGCUUUGACGGGUAGCCGGCCUGAGAGGGUGACCGGCCACAUUGGGACUGAGAUACGGCGCAGACUCCUACGGGAGGCAGCAGUGGAGAAUAUUGCACAAUGGGCGGAAGCCUGAUGCAGCAACGCCGCGUGCGGGAUGACGGCCUUCGGGUUGUAAACCGCUUUCGCCUGUGACGAAGCGUGAGUGACGGUAAUGGGUAAAGAAGCACCGGCUAACUACGUG
rnacentral:rRNA from 1 species